rnacentral:rRNA from 1 species
CAGCACCUCAAGUGGUCAGGAUGAUUAUUGGGCCUAAAGCAUCCGUAGCCGGCGCUGUAAGUUUUCGGUUAAAUCUGUACGCUCAACGUACAGGCUGCCGGGAAUACUGCAGCGCUAGGGAGUGGGAGAGGUAGACGGUACUCGGUAGGAAGGGGUAAAAUCCUUUGAUCUAUUGAUGACCACCUGUGGCGAAGGCGGUCUACCAGAACACGUCCGACGGUGAGGGAUGAAAGCUAGGGGAGCAAUCCGGAUUAGAGACCCGAGUAGUCC